AUUGAACGCUGGCGGCAUGCUUUACACAUGCAAGUCGAACGGUAACAGGCCGCAAGGUGCUGACGAGUGGCGAACGGGUGAGUAAUGCAUCGGAACGUGCCCAGUCGUGGGGGAUAACGCAGCGAAAGCUGCGCUAAUACCGCAUACGAUCUAUGGAUGAAAGCGGGGGACCGUAAGGCCUCGCGCGAUUGGAGCGGCCGAUGUCAGAUUAGGUAGUUGGUGGGGUAAAGGGCCACCAAGCCAACGAUCUGUAGCUGGUCUGAGAGGACGACCAGCCAACCGGGGACUGAGACACGGCCCAGACGCCUACGGGAGGCAGCAGUGGAGAAUUUUGGACAAUGGGCGCAAGCCUGAGCCAGCAAUGCCGCGUGCAGGAAGAAGGCCUUCGGGUUGUAAACUGCUUAUGUACGGAACGAAACGGUCUGGGUUAAUACCCCGGGCUAAUGACGGUACCGUAAGAAUAAGCACCGGCUAACUACGUGCCAGCAGCCGCGGUAAAAC
rnacentral:rRNA from 1 species